rnacentral:rRNA from 1 species
AUCGAUGAAGAACGCAGCGAAAUGCGAUAAGUAAUGUGAAUUGCAGAAUUCAGUGAAUCAUCGAAUCUUUGAACGCACCUUGCGCCCUUUGGUAUUCCGAAGGGCAUGCCUGUUUGAGUGUCAUUAAAUUCUCAACCCAAAAAGCUUUUGCUAGCUCUUUUGUGGCUUGGAUGUGGGGGUUUUUUGCUGGCUUCCUUCAGUGGAUGGUCUGCUCCCCUUAAAUGCAUUAGUGGGAUCUCUUGUGGACCGUCACUUGGUGUGAUAAUUAUCUAUGCCAGUUGACUUUGAAGCAAAACUUAUGGGAACCCGCUCAUAACCGUCUUCGGACAACUUUUGACAUUUUGACCUCAAAUCAGGUAGGACUACCCGCUGAACUUAAGCAUAUCAAUAAGCGGAGGAAAAGAAACUAACAAGGAUUCCCCUAGUAACUGCGAGUGAAGCGGGAAAAGCUCAAAUUUAAAAUCUGGCGGUCCCUGUGGCCGUCCGAGUUGUAAUUUAGAGAAGUGUUAUCCGCGCUGGACCGUGUACAAGUCUCCUGGAACGGAGCGUCAUAGAGGGUGAGAAUCCCGUCUUUGACACGGACUGCCAGGGCUCUGUGAUGCGCUCUCGAAGAGUCGAGUUGUUUGGGAAUGCAGCUCAAAAUGGGUGGUAAAUUCCAUCUAAAGCUAAAUAUUGGGGAGAGACCGAUAGCGAACAAGUACCGUGAGGGAAAGAUGAAAAGAACUUUGGAAAGAGAGUUAAACAGUACGUGAAAUUGCUGAAAGGGAAACGCUUGAAGUCAGUCGCGUUGCUCAGGAUUCAGCCUUGCUUCUGCUUGGUGUACUUCCUGUUCGACGGGUCAACAUCAAUUUUGGCCGGUGGAUAAAGGCACAGAGAAUGUGGCAUCUUCGGGUGUGUUAUAGCUCUGGGUCGCAUACAUCGGCUGGGAUUGAGGAACUCAGCACGCCGCAAGGCCGGGUACUUGUACCACGUACGUGCUUAGGAUGUUGGCAUAAUGGCUUUAAUCGACCCGUCUUGAAACACGGAAGGG